CCUACGGGUGGCAGCAGUGGGGAAUAUUGGACAAUGGGGGCAACCCUGAUCCAGCCAUGCCGCGUGUGUGAAGAAGGCCCUCGGGUUGUAAAGCACUUUCAGUGAGGAAGAACGCCUGGUGGUUAAUACCCAUCAGGAAAGACAUCACUCACAGAAGAAGCACCGGCUAACUCCGUGCCAGCAGCCGCGGUAAUACGGAGGGUGCGAGCGUUAAUCGGAAUUACUGGGCGUAAAGCGCGCGUAGGUGGCUUGAUAAGCCGGUUGUGAAAGCCCCGGGCUCAACCUGGGAGCGGCAUCCGGAACUGUCAAGCUAGAGUGCAGGAGAGGAAGGUAGAAUUCCCGGUGUAGCGGUGAAAUGCGUAGAGAUCGGGAGGAAUACCAGUGGCGAAGGCGGCCUUCUGGACUGACACUGACACUGAGGUGCGAAAGCGUGGGUAGCAAACAGGAUUAGAUACCCGGGUAGUC
rnacentral:rRNA from 1 species